UCGCCUACGGGGCGCAGCAGUGGGGAAUAUUGCACAAUGGGCGCAAGCCUGAUGCAGCGACGCCGCGUGAGCGAAGAAGUAUUUCGGUAUGUAAAGCUCUAUCAGCAGGGAAGAAAAUGACGGUACCUGACUAAGAAGCUCCGGCUAAAUACGUGCCAGCAGCCGCGGUAAUACGUAUGGAGCAAGCGUUAUCCGGAAUUACUGGGUGUAAAGGGAGCGUAGACGGAUGUGCAAGUCUGAAGUGAAAGCCCGUGGCUCAACCGCGGAACUGCUUUGGAAACUGUAUAGCUUGAGUACUGGAGAGG
rnacentral:rRNA from 1 species